CGUAGGGGGCAAGCGUUGUCCGGAUUUAUUGGGCGUAAAGCGCGUGUAGGCGGCCAGGUAGGUCGGCUGUGAAAACUCGAGGCUCAACCUCGAGACGUCGGCCGAAACCAUCUGGCUAGAGUCCGGAAGAGGAGAGUGGAAUUCCUGGUGUAGCGGUGAAAUGCGCAGAUAUCAGGAAGAACACCCGUGGCGAAGGCGGCUCUCUGGGACGGUACUGACGCUGAGACGCGAAAGCGUGGGGAGCGAACAGGAUUAGAUACCCUGGUAGUCCACGCCGUAAACGAUGGGAACUAGGUGUGGGCGGUGUCGACUCCGUCCGUGCCGAAGCUAACGCAUUAAGUUCCCCGCCUGGGGAGUACGGCCGCAAGGCUA
rnacentral:rRNA from 1 species